GGCUGGUCUGAUGGCAGUGGGUUAUCAGAACUUAAUAACAUUAGUGUCACUAAAGUUGGUAUACCACCCCCCCACUGCUAAAUUUGACUGACUUUAA
rnacentral:Y_RNA from 1 species